rnacentral:tRNA from 1 species
GAUUUCGUAGCUCAAAUGGCUAGAGUAUCGGUUUCAUACGCUGAAGGUUGAAGGUUCGAAUCCUUCCGAAAUUA